rnacentral:rRNA from 1 species
CCCUAGUAACUGCGAGUGAAGCGGGAAGAGCUCAAAUUUAAAAUCUGGCGGUCUUCUGAUUGUCCGAGUUGUAGUCUAGAGAAGUGUUAUCCGCGUCGGACCGUGUACAAGUCUCCUGGAAUGGAGCGUCAUAGAGGGUGAGAAUCCCGUCCAUGACACGGACGCCCGAUGCUUUGUGAGACACUCUCGAAGAGUCGAGUUGUUUGGGAAUGCAGCUCAAAAUGGGUGGUAAAUUCCAUCUAAAGCUAAAUAUUGGCGAGAGACCGAUAGCGAACAAGUACCGUGAGGGAAAGAUGAAAAGCACUUUGGAAAGAGAGUUAAACAGUACGUGAAAUUGUUGAAAGGGAAACGCUUGAAGUCAGUCGCGUCCCGUGGAACUCAGCCUGGCUUUGGCCUGGUGUACUUUCUAUGGGAUGGGUCAACAUCAGUUUCGGCCGGUGGAAAAAGGUUGGGGGGAAUGUAGCGCCGUUUCGGCGGCGUGUUAUAGCCCUCUGUUGUAUACACCGGCUGGGACUGAGGACCGCAGCACGCCCUUGUGGCCGGGGGUUCGCCCCACGUAACGUGCUUAGGAUGUUGGCGUAAUGGCUUUAAGCGACCCGUCUUGAAACACGGACCAAGGAGUCUAACAUGCUUGCGAGUGUUCGGGUGGAAAACUCUUGCGCGUAAUGAAAGUGAAAGUUGGGAACCUCCGCAAGGGGGUGCACCGACGCCCGGCCCUGACGUUCUCUGACGGUGCUGCGGUAGAGCAAGUAUGUUGGGACCCGAAAGAUGGUGAACUAUGCCUGAAUAGGGCGAAGCCAGAGGAAACUCUGGUGGAGGCUCGUAGCGAUUCUGACGUGCAAAUCGAUCGUCAAAUUUGGG